rnacentral:rRNA from 1 species
UACGUAGGGCGCAAGCGUUGUCCGGAAUUAUUGGGCGUAAAGAGCUCGUAGGCGGCCUGUUGCGUCCGCUGUGAAAUCCCGGGGCUCAACCCCGGGCCUGCAGUGGAUACGGGCUGGCUAGAGGCAGGCAGGGGAGAACGGAAUUCCUGGUGUAGCGGUGAAAUGCGCAGAUAUCAGGAGGAACACCGGUGGCGAAGGCGGUUCUCUGGGCCUGUACUGAUGCUGAGGAGCGAAAGCGUGGGGAGCGAACAGG